AACGAACGCUGGCGGCAUGCCAAACACAUGCAAGUCGAACGAAGCCUUCGGGCUUAGUGGCGCACGGGUGCGUAACGCGUGGGAAUCUGCCCUUUGGUUCGGAAUAACAGUUGGAAACGACUGCUAAUGCCGGAUGAUGACGAAAGUCCAAAGAUUUAUCGCCAGAGGAUGAGCCCGCGUAGGAUUAGCUAGUUGGUGUGGUAAAGGCGCACCAAGGCGACGAUCCUUAGCUGGUCUGAGAGGAUGAUCAGCCACACUGGAACUGCGACACGGUCCAGACUCCUACGGGAGGCAGCAGUUUGGAAUUUUGGACAAUGGGCGAAAGCCUGAUCCAGCGACGCCGCGUGGACGAUGACGGCCUUCGGGUUGUAAAGUCCUUUUAGCAGGGAACAAUUUUUGAGCGUACCUGCAGAAUAAGAGGUUGCUAACUCUGUGCCAGCAGCCGCGGUAA
rnacentral:rRNA from 1 species